UGGGCACACCCACUCCCUGGCACAUUGUUAGAACCCACAACUGUCCUCCUAUGUUGAACUCACAACUUCCUGCUUUAGCCCUGGGAGGAGGGCUGCACCGUUUAGCCUGGGAAUCAACCGAAUUGCCUACUCUCAGAUGGAGAUCUGCAAUUCGUGCCUUAGAUGUUGUAAUGCCACUUCUGGGCAGCCAGCUGUUCAGCAAGGCAGAGCGCCUGCUGGAGAGAGACCGGGUGGAGGCGACCCUGACGCCUUGGAUGUCCCGUCCCAGCUGGAGCUGAAGGCAGCCCCUGGAGCGAGCCGACCACAGACCUCUCAGCCGCCUGCCCGGCUCCUACUCCUCGGACCAGGAGAGCAUUGGGAGGUGGUGCUUUAAACACCAACCGGGGAGCGUUUUGUUUGCAGCAACAGAUGGCUAACGGGAGGCGAUGGGGCCACCCAUGAGCCAGAUGCUCCAGAGGGGGGGCCUGCGCAUCAGCAUUUUAACAGGCCCCGCUACCCCUGAGAGGGGCCUGAUUGGCUCAGUCCGGGGACCCGUUCUCUGCGGGCGGACCAGAGCGAGGCCUCCGAGAAUGGGUCCGGCCGCUUUCCCUUCCCACUCACAUCUCAGGGUGUCUGUCUCCUACUGAGGCGUGAGAAACACAUGCUGCCUGAACUCAUGGAAACAUUUUAAAAUAUUAACUAAGCUG